UACGGGGGGUGCGAGCGUUGUCCGGAAUCACUGGGCGUAAAGGGCGCGUAGGUGGUUUGAUAAGGGUGUGGUGAAAGUCCGGGGCUCAACCCCGGAUCUGCCGUGCCGACUGUCAAACUCGAGGGCUGUAGAGGCAGACGGAAUUCCGGGUGUAGCGGUGGAAUGCGUAGAGAUCCGGAGGAAGACCGGUGGCGAAGGCGGUCUGCUGGGCAGUUUCUGACACUGAUGCGCGACAGCGUGGGGAGCA
rnacentral:rRNA from 1 species